CAGCAGCCGCGGUAAUUCCAGCUCCAAUAGCGUAUAUUAAAGUUGUUGCAGUUAAAAAGCUCGUAGUUGAACCUUGGGUCUGGCUGGCCGGUCCGCCUCACCGCGAGUACUGGUCCGGCUGGACCUUUCCUUCUGGGGAACCUCAUGGCCUUCACUGACUGUGGGGGGAACCAGGACUUUUACUGUGAAAAAAUUAGAGUGUUCAAAGCAGGCCUUUGCUCGAAUACAUUAGCAUGGAAUAAUAGAAUAGGACGUGUGGUUCUAUUUUGUUGGUUUCUAGGACCGCCGUAAUGAUUAAUAGGGAUAGUCGGGGGCGUCAGUAUUCAGCUGUCAGAGGUGAAAUUCUUGGAUUUGCUGAAGACUAACUACUGCGAAAGCAUUCGCCAAGGAUGUUUUCAUUAAUCAGGGAACGAAAGUUAGGGGAUCGAAGACGAUCAGAUACCGUCGUAGUCUUAACCAUAAACUAUGCCGACUAGGGAUCGGACGGGAUUCUAUAAUGACCCGUUCGGCACCUUACGAGAAAUCAAAGUUUUUGGGUUCUGGGGGGAGUAUGGUCGCAAGGCUGAAACUUAAAGGAAUUGACGG
rnacentral:rRNA from 1 species